UUUCCAAAAUUCCAAAGACAGGUGCCACUUUGGGACAUGCCAUGUUACAUAUCCAUGAAGUUGUAGAAAGUUUGAUAUAAUAAUCUUGCAGGAAAUGCAGCUUCAAUGUGUUUUCCCAUAGGGCCAAUGUUAAACUUUCGCCCUGUUUCCAUGACAAUGGUGGUCAUUUUGGAAUUUCCUAAUAUUGUCACAUCAUCUAGGCAUACCAAGGAACAUUACCAUAAAGUUUCAUCCAGCUAGGUCUUAUAAUGAAAGAUUUAGAAUCUGCAUUUUUUUUCACAUUUUAUCAGUUUCCAUGGCAACAGCAGCCAUCUUGAUGAUGCCAUACCCUUUUCGCAAAACUGCAUAUGCUAGGUAACAUUAUGGUAUAGUUCCAUGACCAUUGGAUCAUACAGUGACAAGAUAUGGGCUGGACAAAAAGCGUGGAAGAAAAAUAAAAAUAACUAGAAUUGCCAUUGCAAGCAAUAGCGGAUGUCACCCUGGUUCCCCAAUUGCCACUAAACGGCAGCCAUUUCGAAAUGUUCCAUCAGUAAAUGCAGAUAUAUCCAUAACAAAAGAUCUUUCUGUCAGUUUUCAUAGCUUUAUGUACGUUUUUCUGUUUUCAACAAUUGUGCCGUUUCCAUGGCAACGGCGGCCAUUUUGAAAAUUCCAAACUCAAAAGUCAAGUCUACAUUAGCUAGGCAACAUUUGUUUUAAGUUUCAUUAAAUUUGAAGCAUUUUGGAGUUUUUCAUAUUUUUGCUGUUUCCAUGGUAACGGCGGCCAUUUUGAAAAUUCCAAAGUCUAACUUCUGCUGCAAAUUGUUCUCUCCAUAAUUAUAUACCAUCAUAUACCAUUUAAUGUCUCAAGAAUAAAUUUAACAGUUAUGUUCUGGAAUGUUCCAUGAAAAAUUCACCCCCCUCAAAUUAUGUCUAGAGACCCCCCAGUUGAAAAAAAAAAUGUACCAUGUUGAAGUGUGCAUGAGUCUCUUAAUAUCAUAGAAGUUUCAUAUAAAUUGGAACACAUUUCUAUUUUUCACAUUUUUGCUGUUUCCAUGGCAAUGGCAGCCAUUUUUUUAAUUCCAAAGUCAGAUGCAAAACUACACAUGGUGAUUAACAUUAUGUUAUAGUUCCAUCAACAUUGGUCCAUUCAGUUCCAAGAACUAAGCUGGACAAAAAGUGCGGAAUAAGAAUAAUAAGAAAACUAGAUUUGUAAUUGCUAGCAAUAACGGAUGGCACCCUCGUCCCCCCAUUGCCAGGCGAGCGGCAGCCAUUUUGAAAAUUCAAAA
rnacentral:lncRNA from 1 species